rnacentral:rRNA from 1 species
UACGAAGGGGCGAGCGUUGUUCGGAAUUACUGGGCGUAAAGGGCGCGCAGGCGGCUCUGAAAGUCAGAUGUGAAAGCCCCGGGCUUAACCUGGGAAUUGCAUUUGAUACUCUGGAGCUUGAGUGUGGGAGAGGAGAGUGGAAUUCCCAGUGUAGAGGUGAAAUUCGUAGAUAUUGGGAAGAACACCGGUGGCGAAGGCGGCUCUCUGGACCACAACUGACGCUGAGGCGCGAAAGCGUGGGGAGCAAACAGGG